rnacentral:rRNA from 1 species
ACAGCAGUCGCCGCGGGAAAACGGAGGGGGCUAGCGUUGUUCGGAAUUACUGGGCGUAAGGCGCACGUAGGCGGCUUGGUAAGUUAGAGGUGAAAGCCUGGAGCUCAACUCCAGAAUUGCCUUUAAGACUGCCGAGCUAGCAGGUGAGAGAGGUAAGUGGAAUUCCGAGUGUAGAGGUGAAAUUCGUAGAUAUUCGGAAGAACACCAGUGGCGAAGGCGGCUUACUGGCUCAUACUGGACGCUGAGGUGCGAAAGCGUGGGGAGCAAACAGGAUUAGAUACCCCAGUAGUCCCUGUCUCUUAUAC